UUCUCUGUGUAGUUUUGGUGCCUGUCCUGGAUCUUUCUCUAUAGACCAGGCUGGCCUUGAACUCAGAGAUCCACCUGCCUCUGCCACUCAAGUGCUGGGAUCAAAGGGGUGCACUACUACCACCCGGCUAAAGAAUCACUUUAA